AUGAAAAUAUUGUCAAGGAACUGUCGGGGUCUUGGAAACGCCCCAACAGUGCGUGCCCUACUGGAUGUCCAGCGAAGAUGUUCCCCUAACAUGGUGUUUUUGUCGGAGACCCACCUUGAUAGCUAUCCGGCAGAAUGUUUAAGGAGGAGGAUGAAGAUGGACCAGAAACUUGUGUGCACGAGUAAUGGAAGAAGUGGUGGUUUAGUUCUUUUU
rnacentral:rRNA from 1 species